AUUGAACGCUGGCGGCAGGCCUAACACAUGCAAGUCGGGCGAGCGGAGGACGGGUGAGUAAUGUCUGGGAAACUGGAUGAUGGAGGGGGAUAACUACGGGAAAAGGUAGCUAAUACCGCAUACAAUCAGAGGAACCCAUAUGGGAUUAGCUUGUAGGUAAGGUAACGGCUUACCUAGGCGACGAUCCCUAGCUGGUCUGAGAGGAUGAUCAGCCACACUGGGACUGAGACACGGCCCAGACUCCUACGGGAGGCAGCAGUGGGGAAUAUUGCACAAUGGGCGCAAGCCUGAUGCAGCCAUGCCGCGUGUAUGAAGAAGGCCUUCGGGUUGUAAAGUACUUUCAGUCGGGAGGCGUUACCGACAGAAGAAGCACCGGCUAACUCCGUGCCAGCAGCCGCGGUAAUUC
rnacentral:rRNA from 1 species